rnacentral:lncRNA from 1 species
CUGUGGAUGUUUCCAUCCGGUGACGUGAUUAAGAAAAGCAGACAAAUAACUAUGAUACCAGAUGUACUCCUUAAGCAAUAUAAUGAAGGGGGAGGCAGGACAUCUGGUUUUAAUUCCACUUCUGCCCCUCACUGACAGUGUAGCUUUAGGCAGAUCACUCCGAGCUUGGUUUUCAUAUCAUGAGAAAAAGGGAACUGGGAUUGUCUUUUCAGGGCAGAGUUUCUGUUUGUGCAUAUUUGCCAAAGUGGAGGUACAAAUUAUAGCACGGUGGAUGCUUGCGCCGGAAUGCCUGGGCUGGAAUUCUGGCUCUUCUGCUUAUCAACUGUGUAACUCCGGUCAAGAAGGAGAAAGUUCUGGGCCUGGAAAGGGGCUACUCUCACCCAUGGCAUGGCUGGCCCUCAGCUGCCUCUGGCUGGAGCAACUGCUUUACAGUGGGGUAAGAGGAGGGCAUGGAAGUCUGCCAGGAAGCAGCCCCCUGCUCUGCGGGAUGCCUGUCUCCUAUUGUUCUUGGAUUUAGUAGCCUCUCCAAGCCCCUCCUCCCAAAGGCUUAAUUUUUAAUAGAAUGAAAUUCAAUGCUUGGAGAAUUUGAGGGGAAAAUGUAUACCUUUGCUUCUUUCUUGAGUCUGAUACUAGGUGAGACCUCAUAAAUGC